UAGGGAAGGAUCUUUUCUGGAGAUUUACUCCACCAGAGUUUCCCACAUGAGUCCUGGAUAGAGCAGAAAUGCCACUGUGUAUUUUGUGGUGUCAGUACAGUGAUGUAGUUGAAGAGGAUACGUGACAGAGCAGGAGGCAGAAUCUAUUGCUCACACUUCAAGAUGUAAAUCAGUCAAAGAUAACUUCGGGCUUUGAAGGAAUGUUCUGGAGGCCACACAAACUGUAUGCAAAACCUUAUGUGCCUCUCGGACAGAAGCUGCACUAAGAGAAACUUCAGAAAUGUCUAAUUACAGCAGUGCAAAUCACUGGGGCUUGCAUAUGAUACCAUACUAAAAUGUAUUUUGUGUUGGUUCGCUUUCAAGACAAGGAAAUGUAAAGCCGUAUGUAAGGAUUGGAACACCAGAGGAGUGAUAGGAAGGUGACAGGUGGAUUGGCUAUUAACUGCAGCUGCUCAGCUGAGGCAGAAGAGUGUUCCGGAGGACUACUGCAGGCUGCAGAAAUGUGUGUGAGCAGCCCGACAUGGGGGUGAACUGUGGGCAGUAAGUAAAAAGUUACAAAUAUAACCCUCCUCUCCAACUACAGAGGGCAGAACCGUAACCAUGAAUGUAUCUGAAAGCUAGGAAAUCUUGUUUGUAAGUGAAUAUUACCUAGUAAAGGCUUAAUAACUAUUUUCCUGAUCUAUGUGUUUCCAGAGAUGGAAGGCAGACGUUUCAAUGGCUCUACUAAUAGUACCUGUGCAGAUUCUGUAGCAGAUCUUUAGGUGAAAAGAGUGCACAUUUGGUUUGGAUUUUGGGUUUGGAUCUUAGGUGGGGAACAAAAAAACGACUAUUUCAGCUGUAAAACAGGGAUGAUAGCUAACCACUGCCCUGCUGGAGACCUCAGAAUAUUAAAUAAUCUUUAUCUGGGUGUUGUCAUCAGAGAUGCUUGAUGGCUAGAGGUUUGGUCAUUGCUGAGCCACUUUUCAGGGCUGUCAAAUACAUUUUAUGACGUUUGCAUUUGAUUUUGAUUGAUGUGGUUUCCUGUGUCUGCUGCAGCAUUGCAUUGUUCCACAAAGAGCUUUCCAAUACAAUUUCUUCCUGUUAGAAGUGAGGUAGGAGAAGAGAAUUGGUUUCCUUUAAAUUUUGACUCUUGACCAUUACCGGCAGUUGUCAUUGAUAUUGUACCAAUCAAAAGUGGCUUAGGACACAAGUUCAGUUGUUGUGAUCUGACCAGAAAAUAAUAGGACGCUCUCCCCAACCUGAAACUUAACACAGAUUUAUUUAACUUCCGACUUACUUCUGCAUUUAUUUAAAAACACUUUCCAAAUUAAUCCAAAUACCUAGAAAUCUGAAAGGUGAGAUAAAUUAAGAGAAGAUCAACGCUGCUUUCAUUUGCCAAAGCUGUGAAGAAAUAGCAUACUUUUGUUUACAGACAGAGUUUGCUUUUCCUAUGCCAGAAAGCACUGCCUAGCAGCUCCUUGCAUCAGGCAUGUGAGCCUGUGUCCAGAGAGCUCUGCAGGAGAACUCUGGAGUUGAGGCUUUAGCUUGAAGCUGCAUUGAUCCAACUGUACCAAGCAUGUAAGAGAAAUGAUGGUAAAUUCUUUCCCCAGACAGAACAAUGCCAUUUACUUCAAGAUGUGAUCUUCAGAAAUCUAUCAUUUUUGUACUUUUCAGUAAAUUAUUGCUGGUCCAAAUGAAAUUGGGAAAAACUGACUGGCAUGAAAGCAGUGUUUCUAAGUCAAUUUCUGCCUGGAUUUCUCUGUUAAUAUCAAUGCAGAUUUCAUGCAUAUGUUUUGUUAGAAGGUUUUUCAUUGAGAACAAGUGUCAAAAUUUGCUAAUAUGUUGAAUUCAGAGGACGCAUGUUUGCAUGCACAGCAUUUGUAGAUCUAUCCUUUUUCUCUGCUCUCUCUACCUCUACUAAUAAGCACUUAUGAGCUGCUUGUUAGUGUGAUAGUCUGGCACAUUUUACAUCAAACAAGAACAAUUUUGUUUUGUUUAUUGAGUCCCUUUAUCUUCUCUUUCAUUACUUGUAAACAUAUCAUGCUUCUGCUGUUUCAGUUGGAAGUCUGAUCACAGAUAGUAUCCAGAUAUUGGACUCUAUGCGAUGUGCUACGAUUUUGCUGUAGGGCACGGUAUUUUCACAAGCUUUUUUACCCAGUUUUUCAUCCUGAUUGCUUGUGGUCACCUGGCUGCCCUCUGGUUUUAUGACACCCAGCCCGAGCCAUUGCAUUCACUUACACCUCUUCAGACAAAACAUGUGCCAUGGGAAAUGUAUGUGUGCAGCCUCCGUGCUGAAAGGACUGCCAAAGUUCAGGCAAAGCAACCUUUCAGCAAAUGAUCACGACCUAUUAAUGUGGUUGGUGGACAAAUGUAUUUAAGAGAAAAAUCCCACAUGUAUUUAGUAGCUGCUGUAAACAUGUUUGUUUUGUGACUGAGAAACCAUGGCUUCAAUUUACCUUGAGUUUCUUCCUGCCAUCUCCUAUACUUUGGCUGCUGGUGGUUUGCAGCUGCUCUUUUGACCAUAAAAAGAAAGUCCUUUAAUAUAGCAAUGAAAACAUGAAAUUGUGGAAGUUUGAAUACAAUUCUCCUGGCGAUGGUUGGAAUUCAGAGAAAAACUGACCAAGGAUUAAUGAGA